rnacentral:rRNA from 1 species
UACGGAGGAUGCAAGCGUUAUCCGGAAUGAUUGGGCGUAAAGAGUCCGUAGGUGGUAAUUCAAGUCUGUGGUUAAAGCGUGGAGCUUAACUCCAUAAAGGCCAUGGAAACUGAAUAACUAGAGUGAGGUAGGGGUAGAGGGAAUUCUCGGUGUAGCGGUGAAAUGCGUAGAUAUCGGGAAGAACACCGGUGGCGAAAGCGCUCUACUGGACCUUAACUGACACUGAGGGACGAAAGCUAGGGGAGCGAAAGGG